rnacentral:snRNA from 1 species
AGAUGUGAGGGCGAUCUGACUGCGACAUCUGUCACCCCAUUGAUCUCCAGGGUUGACUCAGCUGAUCUGGCUGGCUAGGCGGGUGUCUCCUUCCCUCCCUCAGGGGCUCCAUGCGCAUCCCUCCUGAAGCUGUGCGCUUUCCCCAUCAGAACAGGAUGGCCUUCCCCGAAUAGGGAUGGACCAGUCUUUUUCGGUCGAGGGUAUGCGAGUAGCUUCGCUCCCCUGGUAGAACCUCCAAAAGAAACUUAUAAGGGCAGAACAAUCAAUAAUAAUAGAAAUAAUAAUGAUAAUAAAAAUAAAACAAUAAAAAUAU